AUUUUAGAACACUCGAGCUUUCUCCGUCAGUUGCCAAAUCUUGCAUAAAAAUACGUUUUUUGGAGCUAUACUUGAUGUGAGCAUGACGCUCAGCGAGGUGCUGCAAGACGUCGCCCAAGGACUGGGAGGACUGGCUUCGUGGACGUUCGAGAAGUUCUGGGAAGCAUGGCACUUCUUCUGGAUUUGGCUGGGUUUUCAAAAGCCAGCGCUGGCCGGGCCCGACCGGCGCGAGCUGCUGGAGUGGGUGCGGCUGCACCUGCCGACCGCGCCGCCAGCCAACUUCGGC